UUUCCAACAGCUCAACUCCGCUCACAUACUCUGUUCCCAUGUCAUAAAAAGAGUUUGAGUUUGUUAAAGAGGUUGUGGAAGAAGGAUGAGAGGAGAGUGCCAAGCAGCACGCUGCUUCUGAAGCUAACAGUGCUGAGAAGGGUGUGGCUUGCGCUCUGCUUUCUUUUCCCCUAGACACUUCUCACCCACUCAAUCUAGUCUUUUGUCUCCCUUUCUCCUAGCUUUCUCCUUAACUAGGUUUAUGCUAAUUCCACCAGUCUAUUCUAUUCCUGUAUUCCCUCCUUCUACACCGUUCUCCCUCUCCUCUCCUCUGACUCAGAGAAGGUAGGGCUGCAGGGAGUCUCAGUAGGAAUAGCAGACUAGGGCUAGGUUCUUUGCCGGAAACACAAGUCAGAUGGCUGUGUCUGCUCUUUGCUGCUGCAGUUCCAGUAGACUGAAUCCCUGCCAUGUUCUGACACAAAGAGAAAGGGUUUCUCAGCUGCUGCACUGUGGCUGGCCAUCUCUGACCACUGGCUCUGCAGCCUGAGGGGAGAUGAGCUCAUUCCUAAAGCUGCUGCUCACUCCAUUCAUAUACUAAACAUGGCUGAAAUCCACGGCUGUGUCCAAAUACCAAUACUUUAGUCCUAAAAAGUAGGUUGUUUUUGAGUAUGUGACAUUUCGAAAAUCAAAUAUACUUUAAAUGCCUGGAUGUCAUACUCAUUUCGGAUUUGACGACAGCUGAUAAUUUGCUGUCAAUUAGAUAUGGUGAUGCCCAACUGAAAUGAACGAAUAGCGGGAACAACGCAAUGACGCAUUCGCUGCACACUUUUUGUGAAUUUCACAACCACAAUGCAUUGGAAGUGGAGGGGCUGCAAGUUUUGAGUAAAUAACUUGGAAGAUGGGGAAUAGCAAAGCUUCUACGGUGGUGUUCAAAUGAUCUACGUGAAGGAGUGUGAGCUGUCACCUGCAUGGGUGAAAAAGAAGUGGGAGAACCUUAAGCAAAAAUACACAGAGUUGAAAGCUCCCCCCACUGGGGUCAGCACUGAGGGAGGGGAGGCCACAGCUGCAUCCUAGAAGUGGUGAUGGAUGAGGCGCUGGGGGGCUGCCACUCAUCACCCCACCGGUUUGGACAUCAUCUCAUCCUCCCAAGGUGUAGCUGUGGGCUCCUCUCCAUCCCAGAAAGGUCCAGAUGUGGAGUCUGGAGAAGGAGGUGCCAGGGAGGCACGUCUUAUGACUAUUUUAGAGGCCAUGAAGUAGUUAUGUAUUUUGUAUGUCAUUUAAUUUAGCUAUUCAUUUUCUAAUGUUUUUGGUGAAGUAAUUUUUUCGUGGAUUUCUGUUUUUUUCAUUGAAAUGUGUUUCUUGUUUGUAAUAAAACAUUUUAUUUGAUACCAGUACAUCCACUGUUUACUUUCAACAUAAAAAAAUACAUUCAUACAUCUGAGCUAUCUUGUUGCAGGUGCCUGGUAACGAUUAGAUAACUUGAAAGGAAAAAGAAACUUACACACUGCUCUUGCUAGCAUCUCUUUUUCCAUCGAAGCUUAUGCUUCGGCCUCUUGGCCUUCGUCAGAGAUUUUUGUUCUAUUUUUUUGUUCUAAAUAAACCAUCUUUGGUAUUUUUUUAUUUUAUUUUUUUUUUCCAUUAUUUUACCAGGUAAGUUGACUGAGAACACGUUCUCAUUUGCAGCAACGACCUGGGGAAUAGUUACAGGGUAGAGGAGGGGGAUGAAUGAGCCAAUUGUAAACUGGGGAUUAUUAGGUGACCAUGAUGGUUUGAUGGCCAGAUUGGGAAUUUAGCCAGGACACCGGGGUUAACACCCCUACUCUUACGAUAAGUGCCAUGGGAUCUUUAAUGACCUCAGAGAGUCAGGACACCGUUUAACGUCCCAUCCGAAAGACGGCACCCUACACAGGGCAGUGUCCCCAAUCACUGCCCUGGGGCAUUGGGAUAUUUUUUAGACCAGAGGAAAGAGUGCCUCCUACUGGCCCUCCAACACCACUUCCAGCAGCAUCUGGUCUCCCAUCCAGGGACUGACCAGGACCAACCCUGCUUAGCUUCAGAAGCAAGCCAGUAGUGGUAUGCAGGGUGGUAUGCUGCUGGUAUAGUAAUUGAUAAUAUUUCUAUAGCGCUUUUCAUCUCCCAUUCCUUUUAAGCUUCAGUUGACUCUUCAAUUGAUACUUGCAUAGACCUAUGGUACACAAGUUUACUCCAAAUACGUUGUUCUAAAUGCUAGCUAAUGUUAGCCCAAAACAACACUCCGGUGUUAGUGAAAGGCAAUGGAGAAAGGUCACUGGGUGGGGCUAUAAAUGAUCCUGUCCGGUUCAUAUGUGAAGCCAUAACAGAUGGUGCUUUCAAGACAACUGGGAAAAAAACUUCCUCUGACUUCUCUGAGCUGA